GCUGAAUCGAAUCCCCGAGCUGACAAGAUAAAAAUCUGUCAUUCUGCCCCUGAGCAAGGCAGUUAACCCAUUGUUCCAUGGGUGACGAAGACGUGGAUGCCGAUUUAAGGCAGCUGCCCGCACCUCUCUGAUUCAGAGGGGUUGGGUUAAAUGCGGAAGACACAAUUCAGUUGAACACAUUCAUUGGACCACUGACUAGGUAUCACGCUUUCCAAUUUACUUACCACUUCACAGGUACUGCAAUCUGAGCACCAUACUGACCAUAAACGGAGCACUAACGAGCACAUUACAUUGUGUCAACUUAAAAUAUAAUUAAUGCAAUACGUUGUUCUUUCAGUAAUGGUGAUUUCUGCUCUGUGUUUUUGUCAAUUGUUGAAAAACAGAGGUUGAUAUUAUGGUGAGGAGAAGCAACUACCACCUGAAGGACCAGUCAGCCUGACCAAUGAGAACACACAACUUGACACCACCUGGGAGACGGUGGUUGGAGAUGACCAGAAUUACCCAGGGUUUGCGUAUGUCAUUCUGCUCAACUAUAGGAUCUGGAUAGUCUGAAGGACAACACUUCUCAUCAGAGCCAGCAGCUCAUGUCCAGUGCUGCGACAGUUUCCGUUAGCAACUCCAACACACAUACCUGCCCCAACAGGUUAAUCUCACCUUCCAUCACCUGCAGGUAUUACUGUGUGUGUUUCUCUUGGGUUUAAUGACUACUGGUGGCACUCAACAAUGCUGGGUAAGAAUUCUGUGUCUUUAGUAUCAUCUUUAUAAUCAGACACUCUCACCCUCAUCUCUCCAUCUCAUCCCACACCACACACUUUCUCUUUCAGACAUAGACAAGUGUGUUGGGAUCCCAGAUAUUUGUGGGAAAUGGGGAACCUGUCGUAAUCAGGGUUGUAUCUACCUGUGCACGUGCCCAAUGGAUUUAGGAACCUGGCAACGGACAAACUCCGUGUGUAGGUGAGAGAAACACAAUUCUUCUUGAGUCUUCUGACUGUCCCAUCCACUGUUGUGUUAUUUUGACUGACCCAUAAUAUUCAACUGGUAUUUACUCCUUGUGUAACAGGCUUCACUGUUCCUGCUUUACUGUCCCUGGCUCAAACUAAUUAUCCUCUGAUUAACAAACACACAAAACGGUCUGCUUGACAACAUAUUAUCCAGAUGCGCC
rnacentral:lncRNA from 1 species